rnacentral:rRNA from 1 species
AUGAAGAAGAUCCGGGUCAUCAGAAAGGAUUCCGGUUUAAAAUCCGGCUCAAGGGAAGUCAGUCUCAUUGAAGCUCUCAAAUAUCUGGUUUACAAUCCGGUUCAAGGGAAAUCUGUUCUCCCACAAAGCUUUGAAGCUCUCAAUAUCCGGUUCAAGAUCCCGGUUCAAGAAGAAUUUAUCUCUUGCAAAAAGGUUAAAAAUUACCGAAGAGGACCUGCUGCCAUGAUGCGCGGUUCAAACAUGGGUAUCCUUCCUUAUUGGCCUAACAUAUUAUUGAUCACAUGGGGGCUUCUGCUUCAUAAAGCGGGGUCUCUGUUCUUUUUACAUCAUGCGUGGUUACAUGGAGUAGUUCUGUUUUAA